UCCCGCCCCGGGUCACCUUGAUCGGCCAAUUCAAAUUUCCUCCAAAUACCACGCGGGAGGCGGCAGCAACCGAAACUCUAAACUGCCUCCGGUCCCUACCAGCAGGCGGGGGUUUCUUCCCUCCUUGGCUCGGCCGAGAAACUCAUAUUUUAUUCAUGAAAAUCUGAGGCCCUGGGAGGCCUCGGCCUAAACAGGAUGGUUCCUCCAUCCGCCUUGCUGAGACUUAGCACUGGCUUCCUGGCGCUUGCGAGGCGCGUGGCCAGCUCCCCAGCCUCACCUGCCCUUCCUGCACCUGGACACCCUUUGUCUCGGCUGCGCGGAGUUCCCGCCAUCCCCAGGCUGUACAGAAUCUUGCAGGGUAUCGAGGAUUUCCGAAGUUAUACCCUGCACCCCACAACCUCUGGCAAGAU
rnacentral:lncRNA from 1 species